rnacentral:rRNA from 1 species
GACGAACGCUGGCGGCGUGCCUAAUACAUGCAAGUCGAACGCUGAAGGAGGAGCUUGCUUCUCCGGAUGAGUUGCGAACGGGUGAGUAACGCGUAGGUAACCUGCCUGGUAGCGGGGGAUAACUAUUGGAAACGAUAGCUAAUACCGCAUAACAGUAGAUAUUGCAUGAUAUCUGCUUGAAAGGUGCAAUUGCAUCACUACCAGAUGGACCUGCGUUGUAUUAGCUAGUUGGUGAGGUAACGGCUCACCAAGGCGACGAUACAUAGCCGACCUGAGAGGGUGAUCGGCCACACUGGGACUGAGGCACGGCCCAGACUCCUACGGGAGGCAGCAGUAGGGAAUCUUCGGCAAUGGACGGAAGUCUGACCGAGCAACGCCGCGUGAGUGAAGAAGGUUUUCGGAUCGUAAAGCUCUGUUGUAAGAGAAGAACGAGUGUGAGAGUGGAAAGUUCACACUGUGACGGUAUCUUACCAGAAAGGGACGGCUAACUACGUG